rnacentral:rRNA from 1 species
UUUCCGGUUGAUCCUGCCGCCGGCCACCGCUAUCAAGUUCCGACUAAGCCAUGCGAGUCAAGGUAUCGUAAGAUGCCGGCAAACUGCUCAGUAACACGUGGAUAAUCUAACCUUGAGUAAGGGAUAACCUCGGGAAACUGAGGAUAAUACCUUAUAAUUGCUUAAAACUGGAAUGUUUAAGCAAUAAAAGUUCCGACGCUCAAGGAUGAGUCUGCGACCUAUCAGGUAGUAGGUGGUGUAAUGGACCACCUAGCCUCAGACGGGUACGGGCCCUGGGAGGGGUAGCCCGGAGAUGGACUCUGAGACAUCAGUCCAGGCCCUACGGGGCGCAGCAGGCGCGAACACUGUGCAAUGCGCGAAAGCGCGACACGGGGAGCUUGAGUGUCUUGGCAUAGCCAAGACUUUUCUCAUUCCUAAAAAGCAUGAGGAAUAAGUGCUGGGUAAGACGGGUGCCAGCCGCCGCGGUAACACCCGCAGCACGAGUGGUGGUCACUUUUAUUGAGCCUAAAGCGUUCGUAGCCGGUUUUGUAAAUCUUUAGAUAAAGCCUGAAGCUUAACUCCAGAAAGUCUGAAGAGACUGCAAGACUUGAGAUCGGGUGAGGUUAAACGUACUUUCAGGGUAGGGGUAAAAUCCUGUAAUCCCGGAAGGACGACCAGUGGCGAAAGCGUUUAACUAGAACGAAUCUGACGGUAAGGAACGAAGGCUAGGGUAGCAAACCGGAUUAGAUACCCGGGUAGUCCUAGCUGUAAACACUGCCCAUUUGAUGUUGCUUUUCCGUUGAGGGAAGGCAGUGUCGGAGCGAAGGUGUUAAAUGGGCCGCUUGGGAAGUAUGGUCGCAAGACUGAAACUUAAAGGAAUUGGCGGGGGAGCACCGCAACGGGAGGAAUGUGCGGUUUAAUUGGAUUCAACGCCGGA